AGAAAAUAAAACUUCUUCAAACCCUGAUUGAAAUUGGAUUACCUGUUUUGCUUUUCCAGGGAACAUCCAUGAUGGAAGCAAUGGAGAUAUUUCUGCUGAUCACUACCAUCGUUUCAUGGAAGAUGUGGAACUAAUGCAUUCACUUGGAGUUAAUUCCUGCAGAUUCUCCAUUUCAUGGUCAAGAGUGCUUCCAAGUGGUAGAUUUGGAGAGAUUAAUCCCAUGGGAAUUGAAUUCUACAACAAGCUCAUAAAUGCUCUCCUACACAAAGGGAUACAACCAUUUGUUACAUUGUGCCAUUUUAAUAUUCCUCAAGAACUUGAAAACCGAUAUGGAUCAUGGUUGAAUCCCCA